ACACCACCUUCUCCGAGCAAACCAACCCAAAACCAAACAUGAACACCAAGCUUUGAAAACAACUUUACUAAAAUUUCUACUGAGCAAAAAUCUUACAACCGAAACCCUAAGUAUUCCAGAACCAAAGAUGAACAUCCCACAAUGUUCAUCAUCGGAAUCCCAAUGGAUCUGAGAAAAAACGAUCUCCAAUUCCAACAAAAUUAAACAAAAACCCAUAACAAAGCAAGCAACAAAAAGAAAUUUAAACCGAGAUAUAGCAAGAAUCCUUAUGGAUCUACCAUAUUCCAGACUUAACUUAACAAUGCAUGAAUAAGCAACAAAUCAAAAAAAUGCAAAUGGUGACUACACGGCGCUACAAUCGCCUUGGAAGGGUUGAAUAAACAGUGAAAGACGUCGUCGGAGCUUCGCGACUCCGGCGAGACCCCGAUGAGUAGUUACCCCAAAUAAGUGUCUUUCGAUCUGGGGUGCGAGCUUUCCUCCUGUUUCCGCUUAGUUUUCAGUCUAUCCUUCUUCUUACUCCUGUGUUUGGUUCGUUAGGGUCAAGCUCGGUUUACUCAAAGUUUCGGUGAUGAACUUUGAGCACCCAUGUGGCGUUUUGAGCUUUGGUGUGCAGGUUGGGGUGUGAUUUCAGCAGGGUGACGGUGCAAGAAGGGAGAGAUCCUUUCAAUGAAUGAGCGCCCCCUUUUAUAGAGCUCUGGGGAUACGAGGUUUUUCAUCCGUGAUCUGGCCAAAAAAUCCAAAAAUCUGUUAGAACGAAAUCUCUUUUGAGAUCUGGUGUGGUCCCCAAAUGAAUGCAGGUGGCAAGGAGGAUUUUUUUUUCGUUGGUAAGAUCUUAAGCUUGUAACCAUCCUCAACAACUCUUUUUUUACCGUGGUUCACGGUUAACAUGAAUUAUGGCGAUAUGAUUGGUUAUGGACCAGGGGCAUCACUUAACAGGCAUGAAUUGAGUUGUUCCGUUAAGUUGAAUCCUACUGAGAACAGCGACAUUGCUUUAAUGGAUGUUUGGAUAAUUAAGUAUUUUCUCGGCCAAUUUGCAGCGAUUGCAUCAUCGGACUCAUGUCAUGUACAUCAUUAUGUUGGUAUGUACUUGGAUUGAAACUGCAGCAGGUCUGUUACAAUGAUUUCAAGCAAUGUCCUCCAUGUUGCAUGCCUCCGGUGGCUAAUUCCUAACAGGUAUCCCAUUCAUCCAAAGUUGCCAGCUAAUCUCAGCAGCAUUGUAUCCUUUUCCUGCUGAAAAUGCAUCCAAAUAGAAAGCACUCCUCUUCAUUCUCACUCUUGCCUACUGCAUCUUUACAACAAUUUUUGAAAUUUUGCUGCUCAGUGAGUAUCUGUCUACCGAAAAGAAGAAAAAGUUGAUGUUCUUUAUAACCUUGUUAACACCUGUGAUAGUGAAUGCAGGUACAUGAAAAUUUUGAUGGUAAAUGCACUUGAUUUUCGAGUCUUGGCUUUGUUUCAAUGAGGUUAUAUGUAUUAUCCCAACAACAAUGUAAUCGCCUUAUGAUUGUAGUGUGACGGUGCGUCUGAUUUUGGCUUUGUUUUGUCAACCAUUGUAAAAUUCACUAUAAGGUUCCUCAAUACCAAUUCUUGUUUGAUUAGGUUUGUGUUUGCUGGACAAAGCAGGGUACAUAGUGAGUGAAUCUUUGUGGCUUCAUGUUGCGAUUGUAGGAUAUGCGAUUCCAACAUUUUAUCGCUCUUAUGCACUACAGACUCCCUGCUGUAAAUUGAGUUCAUGUUAUGUCCAUUGGUUCCAUGAGCAUUUCAGUCCUGUUGUCUUGCAGAAGGCAGCGUUCAACUAUCUGUUUAUAUUUCAAGGCAUUGCAACACGAUUGACAGUGGUUUGUAUCCUUGGUAUAUUGCAAUUUAUGAUCCAAAUUCACCAUGUUCUACCUUGCUGGGUGAACUUAUGUCGCGCCGCUCAUUCUAUGGUCAUGACUUAGAAUCGUAAGUUGCGGUAAAUGUAGGCUAGUUUGUGAUGAGGAACUUGGACUGAUAUAAGUUCUCUGAUUGUGUAGGUUUUAUGUGCUCAAAUCUGUUUGAAUCAUUUGUAGAAAUUAUGAACAUGUUCAUUUGUAUGUAAAAAUGCCUUGGUUGGCUCUGUAGGCGUGUCGACACGAAUAUAUCUUGUUUUUUUUGGAAGAAAUCACGAUAGAAGCAAGUAGACAUGGAAUUAGAUGAUAAUCCAGGAUGAGAUGGAUUAGGUUAAAUCUUAUGGUAGUUAAUGUAGGUCCAUUGACUUGGGCAAAUGAGUUGACCGAAAGUCAACUGUAAGAGUAGUCAAACUUGUGACUCUUUGUAUUUAUGCAUAAACGAAUUUUGGCUUAUGAAUGAAUGGAUUCGGAAGAUAUUGUAUGGAAA